rnacentral:misc_RNA from 1 species
CUAGCUGGCUCAAUUUCUUGCCAGAUGUAACAUCUGAAAGGAUGAAAAAUUUUCUCCCCUACUGUUUGCUCCUAAUCUCCUCCUUUCUCCAUUUCUCUCUAAUUUCUUAUAUUUCAGGUUAUACUCUCUCUUUUUCCCUUACCAGAGUUCUAUCUUGCUAGAGAAACCCCCAAAAUUCUGAUCAUCUUCCCCUUCUUCCUCCCUUCUUCUUUUUCUUCUUCCUCUUCUCCUCCUUUCUUUCUUCCUUUUCUUCCUUUCCUUUCCUUUUUUCUCUUUCCC